rnacentral:rRNA from 1 species
AGGACGAACGCUGGCGGCGUGCUUAACACAUGCAAGUCGAGCGGAAAGGCCCUUCGGGGUACUCGAGCGGCGAACGGGUGAGUAACACGUGAGUAAUCUGCCCCUAGCUCUGGGAUAGCUCCGGGAAAACCGGGAUUAAUACCGGAUACGACCACUUUAGACAUCUGUUGUGGUGGAAAGAAUUUUGGCUAGGGAUGAGCUCGCGGCCUAUCAGCUUGUUGGUGGGGUAAUGGCCUACCAAGGCGACGACGGGUAGCCGGCCUGAGAGGGCGACCGGCCACACUGGGACUGAGACACGGCCCAGACUCCUACGGGAGGCAGCAGUGGGGAAUAUUGCGCAAUGGGCGAAAGCCUGACGCAGCGACGCCGCGUGGGGGAUGAAGGCCUUCGGUUGUAAACCCCUUUCAGCAGGGACGAAGCGAAAGUGACGGUACCUGCAGAAGAAGCGCCGGCUAACUACGUGCCAGCAGCCGC